UACGUAGGGGGCUAGCGUUGCCCGGAAUCAUUGGGCGUAAAGCGCGUGUAGGCGGUCCGGUAAGUCCGCUGUGAAAGUCGGGGGCUCAACCCUCGGAUGCCGGUGGAUACUGUCGGGCUUGAGUACGGAAGAGGCGAGUGGAAUUCCUGGUGUAGCGGUGAAAUGCGUAGAUAUCGGAAGGAACACCGGUGGCGAAAGCGGCGCGCUGGACCUCUUCUGACGCUGAGGCGCGAAAGCCAGGGGAGCGAACGGG
rnacentral:rRNA from 1 species